UUAAUGUUUAUCUACGUAAUGUUCCUUGGUAUACCAUUGUAACUAUCCAUUCAUGACAAAUGAUGUGUAAGUAAAAUGCAGAACAGUAGUCAGCUGAAAGCAUGUCAUCGUUAACUGAUAAGAAUUAUUCAAGAAAGAAACAAAUUUUGUGCUAGCAUCUUGCCAAUGCCGCAGAAAGCUUUAGACAAUGUAGCAGUUACGGCAAAUGCCGAUUGACGUUCCCAGCAUUUUUAAGGAUUCCGCUACUCACAGGAAGUUCGCUUAAUUACGAGAAACGUUACAUCAGAUCGGAUUGAAGCCUACUCGCCUCUCUUUCAUUGUUAAUUUCCAUAUGUAUUAACGCUAUGCAUAAAAGUAUUCACAUCCAGAAGCAGGUUUCAUUCACGACGAUUCCGAUCGUCAUACCGAAGACGGUGAAAUAUCACGGCCAAUCGGUUGGCACCGAUCGUCGCGACCUUCACAGCCAAGAAGACCGGCCUCGUCCUAUCCCUAUCCUCCUCUCUCCCCCGAUUUCGCGAUGAAGAUACGCUGAAUUAGGUGAGCACGCGUCGGCAGUCGAGCCCAUUACGCGUUGCAUUGUUGCAUCCGUUUAGGCGAGGCUCGGGUCGCGUAGCCCACGCGCCGUCCCCGGGCCGAGAUUGUCGUCUGGAAUGACGGUGUCAUUGUAGUCGGAUAUACGCGUGUGUUACGGUGGCAGCAGGCCUCGCAAUGGAUCACCGACCGUGCCACGGAUCGUUUGGAAUAUCAUUGUUGGGCGUUGCGUGCACUUUCGAAGGUGACAAAGGUGACCGGCGACGCGAUUGUUCGAAUAAUUGUUCCUCGGUUCCGUAAAAUUCUCCGGGGGACGACUUUAAUGCCACGCCUCGUUUACGAGAGCACAUCGAGCUUUUGCACCCCGUCACGGUUCAGGAGAUUGCGGGCGCAGCCCCGCCCUUACCCCCAAUAAGUUCACCGACCCACGUGCUCGCUGGUGCCGUCUAUAAAAGCUCACUUAGCAUCAGCUUGAACGGCAAUGUUCGUCCGUAAUGGCUGAUGGAAAGUCGCUGCUCGGGAUCACGGUGGCUUCCGUUUGCUCAGCGUGGCCUCUCCGCGAUUACCACCCGAUCGGUUAGGGUUGGUAGCGACCGGAGGCUACGAACGCGCAGAUAUCGCCGGAUCGCGCUGCCGAGAUUUAAUUGGAGCCAUCUUCGAAUGGAUUGCCCCGGCCCCCAAUGGCGUUUAUCAUGGAAGAUGCCGCCAUCAUAGAUCUCGCUCUCGAAUCCAUGAAUGCCUGGUACUCGAUAGUCGCAUCGGUUCCCGAGGCGAGUCACGGGUCGAGCGUCGGCGGCCAUCGUCCACGGUAGCUCCAGCUCCCCGUCGAAGGAUCCAUCGAACGACCUUCCUCGAUCUCCGGCAACUCGCGAGGCAUUAACGAUCCAGCCAUAACCGUAUCUACCUCGUUAUCGGCCGCACCUCCUGUCAUUCUCGUUCGAAAUAGCACAGGGGUUCGCGAGGAACGCGAAAACAAUCUAACUUACGUGCUUUAUGCUCAACGAGAUUGUUACAGUAGGUAUGUUCCCGGUAGUCAACAACCUGUCACUGUUACGAUUUCGACCCAUGAUCAUUUGAAUGAUUUAUCACGAUUGCGCUAGCGCUCCGCGGAUUUCGUUCGGUCUUCAGCCUGUUUCAAGGAUCUUGUAAAAAUUUACUGCUAUUAGAACCAUAUAGAGAAUUCUACAUCAACAUUAAGUGCUCUUGGGCUUACGAACUUCAGCGAUUACAUGGGGAAUGUCUUGUAUGACGGAUUGUUAGAAAGAAAAAAGUUAUUGACAAUUAUGCUAUUGAACUCGAAAUCGUGACAAGCACGUUAGAUUACAAUAGUUGAAAAGUAUUUUAAUUUAAUCACUCUAAAUAGAACGCGUAUAUAUAAUAAUAUGUAUAAUAUAUACGCUAUGAUAUUGUAAUGUAUACAUAUAUAAUAUUCACAGAAAUGGUUGUGGAACAGAGUUAUGAAAUAAUUGAAAGCUUGAAUCAGAACAAAAUAUUAAGUUGUCUACUAAAUUAGUGCACUUCUCAUUCGCAAGUUCGAUUCUGUAAAACAUUACGCAUUUUUUAAAACAUUCGAUUUAGACAAACUAGAUUUCAUAAAUAUAAUUCUUUAUAAUAUGGAAUGAGAAAGUUUCCAGCGCCAUUCAAGAAAUGCUAGGACCGAUGGUUUGUUUUCAAUGGCAAAAACAUUUCUAAAAAUACAGUUCCACGUUAAUAAAAAAUUAUGGGUUCUUAUUGGACAAGCUACUGCAAGAUAUUUGGAAUGUUUCUCACAUAUUACCUAACUAAUUAUGGUUCAUUUUUUAUCUAAUCUUCGGCAACUCAGUGUUAAUAACAAGUGAAAGAAAAUCGGACUUUAGGUAUUAACAAAUAAUUGAUGGCCAACGUUCUUGUUGGUUGAAUUACAUUUUAUGCAAUGAAUUCUUUAUUGCACUUAAAUUCUGACUCGACGAAUCUUUUAACAGAAAUAAAUUCGUAACUGAUUCUCGAUUGUAUAAAAUGAUUUGAAAAGGGCAAUAUAUUUGUAUAAAGUCUUAGAUUUGAUGAGAAAAUAGCGGAAACGUACACCAGUCCCAUAAAUGUAUCUACGCGACACGUUUUUUCCGAAUGUUGAGUUGUAAGCUAAAUUCGAAUUCGAUCUAGCUCAUAAAAUUUAAACCACAUUGAGGCGUUCCAAGAAAGUUACUGGGGAACGAGCAAUAACUCUGAACGAAUCUCUCGCUCGUUGCGUUUAACUCGAUGCAUUUAAGCAGAGCACCGAAGACAAAGCAAAUGAAGAGUAACGAACUUCUGGGCCAUUUACAUCGAAAAUCUACCUCACCCGCUCUUAGAAUAGAACGAGUCCCUUAUUUCCUAACAAUUAUACGCGAGCGCAUUGUUAAAGGACCCCAGCAGAGCGCGCGCCAUGAUUGUCCGCAUCGAAAUAAAUAACACAUUUACAUUUUGCAUAAUUGAAAAUCCAGCAAUCCUGCAAUGGAUCAAAAAUAAUCUUGGUACUGAAAGCGUCUAUACAUAGUAUACGUUCCGCAAGAUAUUAUAAUAACGCCGUGAAUACAUCAACGGGAUACGUAACGUAUAAAAUGAAGACAACAAUCAUGUACAUAAAUAUUCACGUUUUUGUAAGUAGUUAUAUUUUGUAUUGUAAAAUAGUUGCCUUUUUCUGACAAUAGAAAAGGAAACGGAAACGUGUACAGUAUUUUUUUCUUCAAUAGUCUUACCAACUAUUUCCAUUAUCGAUUAUAGUUGCAAGCGUUUAUGGAAGAAAACUGUGUAAUUUAUGUUGCAAUACAUCGUAGCUAACAAUGUUGAAAUAGCAAAUCUGCCGAAUCUACAAAUUAUUUAUAUUUAUAUCUUGUAAAAAUAUUUUAGUCACUGCUACAUACUCAGUUCGAUAGAAAAGUUUGGGCAAAAUGAAAAAAUUUGCAUACCUUGCAUAUGGAAAGUGUGUUAACCCUUCAGUGUGUAACCCUUCGCUACGGGUCAUUUAGGGUUAGACGACUUUGUUUAACUCUUAAUUGGUACAAUAAUUUUUACAAAUAUAACUGAUCUGCUGGGAUCAUGAUAGACCUCAAAUAAAGAUGAUGAGAAAAUGUGUUAAUCUAA